UCACGUCUUACGACGGCAGUUUCACUAGAGUUCCCAGCGUUACCUGAUGGCAACUAGGGACAAGGGUUGCGCUCGUUGCGGGACUUAACCCAACAUCUCACGACACGAGCUGACGACAGCCGUGCAGCACCUGUGUUCCAGUUCCCUUUCGGGCACAGCCACCUUUCAGCAGCCUUCCGGACAUGUCAAGGGUAGGUAAGGUUGUUCGCGUUGCAUCGAAUUAAUCCACAUCAUCCACCGCUUGUGCGGGUCCCCGUCAAUUCCUUUGAGUUUUAACCUUGCGGCCGUACUCCCCAGGCGGAUAACUUAAUGCGUUAGCUGCGCCACCAAAAGCCCAUGGCCCCUGACAGCUAGUUAUCAUCGUUUACGGCGUGGACUAC
rnacentral:misc_RNA from 1 species